GCGGGUGGAGCAGCUUGGUAGCUCGUCGGGCUCAUAACCCGAAGGCCGUCGGUUCAAAUCCGGCCCCCGCA
rnacentral:tRNA from 1 species